GACGAACGCUGGCGGCGUGCCUAAUACAUGCAAGUUGAGCGCUGAAGGUUGGUACUUGUACCGACUGGAUGAGCAGCGAACGGGUGAGUAACGCGUGGGGAAUCUGCCUUUGAGCGGGGGACAACAUUUGGAAACGAAUGCUAAUACCGCAUAAAAACUUUAAACACACGUUUUAAGUUUGAAAGAUGCAAUUGCAUCACUCAAAGAUGAUCCCGCGUUGUAUUAGCUAGUUGGUGAGGUAAAGGCUCAACAAGGCGAUGAUACAUAGCCGACCUGAGAGGGUGAUCGGCCACAUUGGGACUGAGACACGGCCCAAACUCCUACGGGAGGCAGCAGUAGGGAAUCUUCGGCAAUGGACGAAAGUCUGACCGAGCAACGCCGCGUGAGUGAAGAAGGUUUUCGGAUCGUAAAACUCUGUUGGUAGAGAAGAACGUUGGUGAGAGUGGAAAGCUCAUCAAGUGACGGUAACUACCAAGAAAGGGACGGCUAACUACGUGCCAGCAGCCGCAGUAA
rnacentral:rRNA from 1 species